rnacentral:tRNA from 1 species
ACCAGCGGAGACAUCGGCGAUGGUGCAGAUCGUCAGGGCCGCUCUGCGGCCGGUGGCCUGGUUGCGCCGGGUGCGGUCCUGGUCCGUGUGCUGGUG